AGCAAGCUUUUCUCCACCACAUUUCAUGCAUCGCCCCCAUUCUCUUCUUCUCUCCUCCACCCAUACGCACGCUGUCACACGGCUCAAACACAUCCUAAAUGACAUAAGCUGAUCUAGUAUUAUUCACUCUUUGGCAUCACAAAUUGCAGAUAUCUCAAUUUCGCAACUUUGAUCCUGAAUGUUAAUAUACCAAUGGAAAUUCUGAUGACAAGUUCCCUGCAGCUUUGAAAGUACAGACAUUGCAGUUCAGACAUCAAGCCAUUUGAGAUUUUUGUACGCAGGAAGAAAUUUUCAGCAACGGUAUGCAUCCCUCUGAUCAACCAGUCCUGAUCCUUUCUGUCCUCCUGGCAGGCCUAAUUCUAGCCCUGCUUUUCAUGUACAAGAAGUUGAACAAGGAAGCAGAAAACAAAUAUACCAUUCGCAGCAUGGUAUACAAAGAAGGAGGACUCCGGGAUCGGGCAAGAGGCAUAGCCAUAGCUCUUGGGACUCGUCUUGGCAUUCGACCUCACAGUGAUGAUGAAGAAGAAGAGAUGGAUGAGAUUGAAGAUGAGGAGGGACAGGUGGAGGGUAGCGGCAGCCAAGGGAGUGAUAUGGAGGGAGAAGAUGAACAAGAGGAAGCAGAGGGGGAUAGCAUGGACCAGAGUGGUAACACAAAGGAAAAUAGUAAAGGAAGUGAUAAAUCAAGUUUGGAGAGUUCAGAGUCAGGGGAGCAGGAAACGCAAACAGAUGAGCCAGAGGUAAAAGAUGACAUGGAAGGAAAAAAGGAGGAAAAGCAGGAGAAAGUGGAAGAAGAGCAAGGUAAAGUGAAAGCAAGUGGGGGGACUGGAUUGUUGAUAGAUCUGAAACAGUUUUCUGGAAGUGCCAUCUGGUCUGAAGAAGGGGGAGAUGAUAGUAAGGGAGGUGAUGUAACAGCAUUGUGAUAUCACAAGCAGAAUGCAUGAAAAAACAAGGAAAAUCUAAAGCUCCACUUAAAAGUUUGCACAUAUAUACUCAUUAAAAAUGAAUGGGUAGAUGUAUCCAAACUUUGGACACAGGGUACCAGAACCACAGUACCUGGGUAUUGUAGUUUAGUUUUAAACAGCAUUUUAGAAAUACAGAGGCUGCAGUUCCAAGUAAAUCCAAGUGGCUGUUAAAAUGUUUUUUAUCCAGUUUCUCUAUAACAAAAAAAUAAUAAUAAAUAAAUAAAUAAAAUAAAAUAAAAAUUGACAAGCAGUGACAACAUCACCUCAUCUUUCUCAGUGGUACACAUUUGAUCUUAAUACCACUUGGUGUUGCGACAUCAGGAGACAAAGUAACUUGUACAUUUUUUCUGUUAUAAAUAUGCAUUUGAAUGUUUGUGUAAGAUUUGUAUGAUCUUUUAUUGGACUGUAACCUGUGUUUAUAUUGCUUGAAAUGUUUAUUCUAAUUCAAAUAAAAAUGGGGAAAGAAUUGCUAUCAUACUAUUUACUUGUGUUACAUACUAAAUUGAAAUGUGAAAUAUGAAGUAAAUACUGGUUGUAAGGAAGAAAAAGAAAAGAGAGGUAAUAUAAUUAGAUCCAGUGCUACAUAGAUAAUAUAGUGGUACAUUGAAUUGCCUUUUUACCUAGAGUCAGAUAACUUAUGUUUUGUUUCUAUUGAUAAAAUGAAGAAAAUGUGUGUUCUAUCUCCUGUCACACCAUUAAAGGUAGGGAUAAAAGCUUGAAACACCAACAACGUGACAAAAACUGUAUAUAAUGUUAAGAAUAUGCGUUGACAAAGGUGGAAUAUUGUACAUUAUAGGUAGUUAUGCGUUCCGUAUGCUGUAAACAAAAAUAAUAAAUCACCUCUACUAGCA